UUAAAAGAGUCAGGGGGUUGUACCCACCCCUGGGGCCCACGUGGCGCCAGUACACUGGUGUGCUAGCACCUUUGUACGCCUGUUUUUCCC
rfam:Bovine enterovirus type 2 strain Wye 8875 5' TTR and capsid protein gene, partial cds.